rnacentral:rRNA from 1 species
CAGUAGCCACGGUAAUACGUAGGUGGCAAGCGUUGUCCGGAAUUAUUGGGCGUAAAGGGCUCGCAGGCGGUUUCUUAAGUCUGAUGUGAAAGCCCCCGGCUCAACCGGGGAGGGUCAUUGGAAACUGGGAAACUUGAGUGCAGAAGAGGAGAGUGGAAUUCCACGUGUAGCGGUGAAAUGCGUAGAGAUGUGGAGGAACACCAGUGGCGAAGGCGACUCUCUGGUCUGUAACUGACACUGAGAGACGAAAUCUAAGGGAGCAAAUGGGAUUAGAUACCCCAGUAGUCCCUGUCUCUUAUAC